CUCACCCUGUUGCCCAGGCUGGAAUACAGUGGCACGAUCCUGGCUCACUGCAAUCUCCAUCUCCCGGGUUCAAGCGAUUCUCCUGCCUCAGCCUCUCAAGUAGCUGGGAUUACAGGGCUUCAGAAGCUGAUGGCAUAGUUAUGAGAGGGGUGAAGACUGCGACUGCAUUUCCAACAGACCCUGAGGACAAUUGGGAAGAAUGCGCUGAAUAUUUUUGAGCAAUUUCUAUAUGAUAAGCAGUUUUUAGAUUCAAGAUCUUGCAAAAUCUGAGAUCUGCUCAACUCUCAACUCUUCUUUCCAAAUGAAUGCUUCCUAUCUGCCAGAACUUGGAUCUACUUUCAUCACUUUCAAGCUAUAUCCCAGAGUUCAUCAAGACUACAUUAAGACAGGAUGGAUACUCUUUCCUCCAGGAAGCCACCUCUGUUUCCCUACCCACUCUACCUGUUAAGCUUAGGAGGAGCAGUGUCAACAGUCCUAGCCAGCUGUUGCUGAAGGGCCCAACACCAAAUCCCAGCUGAAGAACAGCUUCUCAUCUUUUGAGACACAGCACAGGGUGAUGGGCAUGGAGCUCUUCCACACUCCCCACAGUCUGACUUAGCUCUCUCCGUUGUGCCCUCCUGGCACCCUGCUCGUAUUUUAUUGUGGCACCUAUAUCGCUGGAUCUCACUCACUGGUUUGCACUCCUGUAUCCCCUUUGAGGGAACAAAUCCCAUGCCUCUGCAAUCCCAGGAUCUGAUACUGAGAUAGACACUAAACAGAUAUUUAAAAAUUUUUGAUAAUCAAUGAAUGGACAAGGAGAAUAAAUAAUAUGAAAGAUGAAAUAAAGAAAUAAAAGUAUUAAUGAGAGUAUAAACAUAUCCAGAUUGGGCUGGGUGCGAUGGCUCAUGCCUAUAAUCCCAGCACUUUGGGAGGCUGAGGUGGGAGGAUCACUUGAGGUCAAGAGUUCGAGAGCAGCCUGGCCAACAUGGCGAAACCCUGUCUCUGCUAGAGAUACAAAAAUUAGCUGGGUGUGGUGGUGUGUGCUUGUAAUCCCAGCUACUUGGGAGGCUGAGGCAGGAGAAUCACUUGAACCUGGGAGGCGGAAGCUGCAGUGAGCUGAAAUUGCACCAGCCUGGGUGACACAGUGAGACUCUGUCUCAAAACAAAACAAAACAACAACAACAAAAAAAAAAAAAAAAGAAAGAAAGAAAAAAAGAAAUCCAGAUAGACUAUUAUGUCUUACUGUUCUUUUUCAUUCAUACCAAAUGGGAAAGAAUUUCCUGUCAAUGCUGGCAGUCUCUGGCUAUCAUGUGGCAGCAUCCGGGAAGGACCUUUGAGGCCACGCUCUUUCCCUCAGGGGACAGUGAGGUGCGUUGUCCAUGGCACCGAUGGGUUUUUCUCUGGGUAGCAGGAGGUUCCACAAUUCCCCAGCCCCAUUUCCUUUUAAGUCAU
rnacentral:lncRNA from 1 species